CAGAACAGAUAGACACAUAUUUUAAGUAGAGGUAUAAACUCAAAUUAUCUACUACUAGCUAGCAUUAUACAGGAUGUUGCAUGUUGCAUCUUCUUUGUUGUAAGCCGAAAGAGUGGCGUAGGCAUUUGCGACUGCCCGUAUAGUGGGAAAAUUAUAAACUAUUAAAUUACCAAUGAAGGUACUGGGGCAUAACUUCAUCUUUAUAAUUGUUAUUAACAAUUAAUUUGUAAAAAUAUAUUUGCUUUAUUACUGCUAUUUUAUAUCACUACUGCAUUUGAUUCUUGGUGCGUAUCUAUAUUAUGUGUUUUUUGUAUGUUUACUUAGAUCUUCACUUCCUUAGAUCUUUAAUGUAUGGUAGGUUGUAGGUUGCGUAGUGCAAUUUUAACAUUAAUUUACUUACAUAAUUUUUCUGUUGUUUGGUUCUAUAUUGGUCAGAAGCUUUUAUAAUGCGCUAGCGUUAUUGUGUUACACUUACAGUGUUGUUAAGUAGUUGCAUAACAUAUUUUUGUUACACUCAUGUCAACUAAUCUCCUUUGCCAGUUUGUAUUUUUUUUAUAACACUGUUUUAAAAUAUUUUAUUACGGAGUUGAUGAGAGUUGUAUGUGUAUUAAAUUAGAAACUUUUUACUUACGUCUUUAUACGAUGAUCUUCACACUGUAGGUUUAUCCUCCAUAGCUUUUGAGAUGUGUUUUUAGAUGGUUUUCCUCGGCUGUUCUUGUUACAUAAUUAUGUUGGUACUUUAUUUCUCCUGGUAAAAUUGUAGUGUUCUAGUGUUUUUAACCUAAACCUCCUUCUUUCUAUAAGCAUAGUUUUAGUUUAAGCAACUUUCUCGCAUGGCCGUAUCCUUAAUUUGUCGGAUUUUCAUUAAUCUAUUUCAAUCCAAUUGUUUUUAAAUCCUGGUAAUUUAUACCUCAUAUAGGUAUGCAUGGUCGAAGGAUGGUUACCAUGACAUUUACAUAGCAGUUUAUAUUAAAUUUAAAUACAGUUAAACCCUGGUAAUGUACAAUUAGGUACUUUAGGUAUAGCUUUAAGAUUCUCAAAAUGUGUCCUUUGAGCAAGCUCAUAUUUAGGAAUGUUUAUGGUAGCCCUUAUGAUCCGAAAAGGCUUUCAAGGACCGAUUUUAUGAGUUUACUUUUGUGUAAGUACUGGCAGUUUAUCUUUCCUAUUUCCCACUACUAACCAAAUAAUUAUGAAAUGAAAAAAAUCUGUUUGAACGUAAAUUAUUUAUUUAUUACAGUCACACAUGGAUCGAAUACAUUUUAAACAUCUAAAAUCAAAUUUAUUCAACAUGUUUCAAUACCUUUAGAGUGAGACCAGGUUUUUUUUUAUUUAGAACAUAACAUUUUGUUGAUAUUUAUAUGGUUUUUGACCUGAUCUCGGAUUUUGUAGUAAGAUUUUAAUUUGAUGUUUAUGUAUCUGAAAGGAUUAGUCAAAACAUGUUGAAGAUUUUCCUAAAUUAUUACAUUCUUUAGGAUUUUUAGAGAAAUGUUUGCUCAUUAUUAAACUAUGCAAGUCUCUACUGUGAAACAGUCACAAAACACAUUUAACUCACGCUACAGUGUCGUGUGUAUUGAAUAGAAUUUUAUUUCUGACCAAUAUUUUGUUUGUCAAUUAAUAAUUAUUAUAAAACUAACAUCUAGUUAAA